rnacentral:rRNA from 1 species
AUUGAACGCUGGCGGCAUGCCUUACACAUGCAAGUCGAACGGUAACAGGUCUUCGGAUGCUGACGAGUGGCGAACGGGUGAGUAAUACAUCGGAACGUGCCUAGUAGUGGGGGAUAACUACUCGAAAGAGCGGCCAAUGCCGCAUGAGAUCUACGGAUUAAAGCAGGGGAUCGCAAGAACUUGUGCUACUAGAGCGGCAGGUGGCAGAUUAGGUAGUUGGUGGGAUACAAGCUUACCAAGCCGACGAUCUGUAGCUGGUCUGAGAGGACGAUCAGCCACACUGGGACUGAGACACGGCCCAGACUCCUACGGGAGGCAGCAGUGGGGAAUUUUGGACAAUGGGCGAAAGCCUGAUCCAGCAAUGCCGCGUGCAGGAUGAAGGCCUUCGGGUUGUAAACUGCUGUUGUACGGAACGAAAAGCCCCGGGUUAAUACCCUGGGGUCAUGACGGUACCGUAAGAAUAAGCACCGGCUAACUACGUGCCAGCCGCCGCCGUAAUAC